rnacentral:sRNA from 1 species
ACCAAUUUAUCUCCAUUACAGGUACAUACGUGAGAUACCAGGCUCAGCAAGCCCAGCCACGAAAAGAGCACAAGCCGUGGCUGAAUUAAACAAAGAUAUAAUCUACAUUUUGACUGAGGUGAACGCGUUGCUCGGAUCAUUAGCGAUGAAUGGUCUCAACGUUGAAGUUAGAAU